rnacentral:rRNA from 1 species
AGAGUUUGAUCCUGGCUCAGGAUGAACGCUAGCGGCAGGCUUAAUACAUGCAAGUCGUGGGGCAGCAGGACUGUAGCAAUACAGUUGCUGGCGACCGGCAAACGGGUGCGGAACACGUACGCAAUCUACCCAAAACUGGUGAAUAGCCCUCCGAAAGGAGGAUUAAUACACCGUAACCUAUUGAAGUGGCAUCACUUUAUUAGUAUAGCUCCGGCGGUUUUGGAUGAGCGUGCGGCUGAUUAGGUAGUUGGCGGGGUAACGGCCCACCAAGCCUGCGAUCAGUAACUGGUGUGAGAGCACGACCAGUCACACGGGCACUGAGACACGGGUCCGACUCCCACGGGAGGCAGCAGUAAGGAAUAUUGGUCAAUGGACGCAAGUCUGAACCAGCCAUGCCGCGUGGAGGAUGAAGGCCCUCUGGGUUGUAAACUUCUUUUAUCUGGGACGAAACCCUCAUAUUCUUAUGAGACUGACGGUACCAGAGGAAUAAGCACCGGCUAACUCCGUGCCAGCAGCCGCGGUAAUACGGAGGGUGCAAAGCGUUAUCCGGAUUCACUGGGUUUAAAGGGUGCGUAGGAGGGCAGGUAAGUCAGUGGUGAAAAUCUCCAAGCUUAACUUGGAAACUGCCGUUGAUACUAUCUGUCUUGAAUAUUG